rnacentral:lncRNA from 1 species
CCUUUUAAAGAUUUCCCCACCUUUCAAUAGCAUCAUAGGAGGGGGACCAAGCUUUUGGGGGACACAGGCAAACUUAAAGAUCUGAAAAUGGACACUAAGACUCAUUGUGGGCACAAAAGAGCCACUAAUCAGGAAAAUGCCCAAGCUUUUUCAGAGAGAUUGACUGGCAGCAGUGGUGAAGAGAGAGACCUACCAAUCUUACAAGGCACUCUACCAUGUGGAUUUUCCACUGCGCUGCUCACAGCUUAUCCAGUUUCCUUGUUGUGGUCAAUGGCCAGAUGGCCUGUUAGAAUUUGUCUUGCGUCAUAUCUGAAGAAAUCAUAUAGAGAGGUAACUAAAUGGACAGCCUUCGCCCUGGUAGAAUUUCCUAUCUGCUCUAGUAGUAGGCAUCACAGUGACACCAACCAAUGUCUGUGUCUCAGUUAAACUUCAAUAUAAUCAUAUUUUCUGUGUAUCAGAUGAUUAAUUGCUACAUUACUCAGCAGAUGGACAUAUGUUAACAGCUUCAUUCAAAAGGAGAAAUGACCUACAGGCCUUUUUAAAAAAUCACUUUCUUUCAUUUUGGCAUCUUAAGCAAAUUUCUUGAAACAGCCAGAGUCCAAAGUAGCUGUUACUACUCUUUGACCUACUACACAGCUUCAGAAAGGGGUUACAGUGAAACUGUGUGUGGAUAGAUAUUUUUGUUGUUAAACACCUUCUGAAUGUGCCUGGUUCCAAGGAUAAGCUAGUGAACACCACAGAUGCAGAUAGGUGAAUGGGAAGCACAACAUUCGGUGUAUUAAAAGUCAGUUAAAAAGAAGAAAUUACAAGAAUGCCAUGAAGUUCCUUUAUUCCUUCUUUCUUUAUUCCACAAAUAUUUGAGGGUGUCUUUUGAGGGAUAUUAAAGUACAGAGACAAAGCCCUAGUGAAAGAGCAAAGGAAAAUACAGGGAAAAAAACAGCAUGAGAGGGUAACAGGGAGAGGGAGAGAGUAAUCUGUCAAGGACUUUGUCUCUUUUUCUGUUCCAUAAGCAUUUGUUUCUUUAGGAUAAACUAUAUAAAGCCAUCUCUGUAUCUCAACUUACAUAGUAACUGGGAGAGUACUGUCAGACCCAGAUUUAUAUGACCAUAUUAUUCACUUCUUAAUUUGUGAGCCCAGCAAGUACCAGAAUGUUGAUAGUUUGUGUUUUGUCUAAUAUUAAUACUUUACAGACAGUAUUUACUUUGUGCCACAUAAACCUAUAAGCACUUAAAAUUCGCUUAAUCCUCACAAAAAUUCCAUGAAGCAGGUAUUUUUAAUCCCUAUUUUAUAUAAAAGGAUACCAAGGCACAGAGAAGUCAUGAAAUUUGCCCAACGUCCUACAACUAGUCCUUGUUGAAACCAGGAACCGAACUUCCAUUUCUAGAGUCUGUGUUGCCUACUGCUCACAAUGUCUGUCAAUAAAUGACACAUGGUAAAAUUAGAACUAAGCA